UGAAUCACAUUGAAAAGAUAAGUAAAUGGAAAUCUUUGCUCAGAGAAUCUACGGAUGGUGGGAGUAGGUGUAAGUAUUUCCUUUGAAAAUGGUCUGGGAGUGACGAGUGUAGAAUGUACUUACCUUUAGCACUUGCGAUUGAUAGUCGAUAACCUAUCUUCGUAUGAUUGUACGAAUGAGGCGAGCCGAGUGUUCGCAAAGUAAGGUGGUACCACGUUUCAGACGUCCUUAUA
rnacentral:ncRNA from 1 species